rnacentral:pre_miRNA from 11 species
AACCGCACAGGAUAAUUGAUUAUCCCGUGUGGUCCACAUAAUAUGACUACACGGGAUAAUGGAUUAUCCCAUGCGGUC